rnacentral:lncRNA from 1 species
GGAAUUCAUUGUUACCAUGGACUGAGUACUUUUUUUUUUUUUACUUUUUUUUUAGUUGUAGAUGGACACAAUAUCUUUAUUAUUAUUUUUUUAAUUUGUUUUUAUUUUUACGUGGUGCUGGGGACCAAACCCAGGACCUCACGCUUGCAAUGCAAGUGCUCUGCCACUGAGCUACAACCCCAGCCCCUGGACUGAGUACUUUUAAUGUGUCAGCUUUUGAUAAUUUUUACUAGCCAGUAUCCAAGAUACCUGCUUUGUAACUUUUAAUGUAGAUUUCAGUAUGAUACCAAUCACAAAAUCCACAUUAGCAUUUUUGAGAGAGAUCUAAUUGACACGGGGUAGGGGGGAGGGCUUACUAGGGCAGGGAUGAUUAUAUUUGCUGUUGUGCCCACAAUAGCUCAGCUGUUCAGUUUGUCAGCUCUCUCAAAAGUGAUCCAGAUAAUAGUUUUGUCAUGUUCCUUAGGUGUCUUUGAGGACCAUUAAGAUCUUAGAAGGCUGUGAUUUCAAAAAGAAGUUACCAAAAAGGGAAAAUAUGCCCAGAACAACUUGUUAGAAUUAAGUUGGAAAAAAGAUAAUUUUAAACAUGUAAUUCAGUAAGUAUUAAUUUAAGAAGUGAACUUAAAAAACAAGUAGACUAAUAGCAAGACGUCUCUGUAGGAAAUGUAUUCAACAUUUUUCAACCAUAGUUUUAUUAUAAAUCACAUCCCUGUAUAAGACAAUAACUUAAAAAUAACUUGAUUUAAAAUAAUUAAAAAUUUAAUUAUUACGGAAAAUUUAGGGGGACAAAGUGAAAAAAAAAAUAAGGUGAAAAACAGCAGUAACAAAAAUCUCCAUAAUCCUACCACCCAGAAGGAACUGCUGCUAUUAAUGUUUUCUUGUAUUUUUUUCUACUUUUAAGAAUUUGUUUUGCUAUAUCAUACAUAAAUGGGUAUAAUAUCUCAUUUUUCUGAUUGUACAUAUUAUACAUAUUGGUCAUGUAGUCAUAUAUGUACAUAAGGUAAUAAUGUCUGUUUCAUUCUACUGUCCUUCCUAUCCCCAUAUCCCCUCCUCCCUUCACUCCCCUCUACAUAAUCUAAAGUCACUCUCUUCUUCCCUAGACCCCACCUUAUUGUCAAUUAGCAUUCGCAUAUCAGAGAAAACUUUUGGGCUGUGGUUUUUUAGGAUUGGCUUAUUUCAUUUAAUAUGAUAUUCUCCAACUCCAAAUGUAUUGUACUGUCAUGUAUAACUAAUUAAAACCAAUAAAAAUUUUUUUAAAAAGAAUUUGUUUUGCAAAGAUGAUGUAUUCCAACUUACUCUGUGAUCUGCAUUUUCACUUAAUGUAUUAUAAAUAUAUUGACAUGUUUCCAUGUCAUUUAAUAUUUCUUCUGCCAAUUUUGAUAUUGCAUGGUAUUAAAUUGUACAGAUGUCAUGUAACUGCUCCCCUAUUGUUACAGGCUGCUUAUUUCUUAGUCCCCACUGACAGUAUUUCAGGUAAUGUUGCAAUGAGCAUCUUUCCUGUUUAUUUACAUACAUGUGAUUAUGUGAUUAUUUUCCUAGGGUAAAUUUCUCCAAGUGGGAUAGCUGGGUCAAACUGUAUAGACUUUUUGCUAAAUUCUGUUCUAUAAUUGUAUUUUUA